UAAGGAAUAUUGCGCAAUGGGCGAAAGCCUGACGCAGCGACGCCGCGUGGGGGAUGAAGGUCUUCGGAUUGUAAACCCCUUUCGGGAGGGAAGAUGGAAUGGGGUAACCCAUUCGGACGGUACCUCCAGAAGCAGCCACGGCUAACUUCGUGCCAGCAGCCGCGGUAAUACGAAGGUGGCAAGCGUUAUUCGGAUUUACUGGGCGUACAGGGAGCGUGGGCGGUUCGGUAAGCCCUCUGUGAAAUCUUCAGGCUUAACCUGGAAAAGUCGGAGGGGACUGCUGGGCUAGAGGACGGGAGAGGAGCGCGGAAUUCCCGGUGUAGCGGUGAAAUGCGUAGAGAUCGGGAGGAAGGCCGGUGGCGAAGGCGGCGCUCUGGAACGUUUCUGACGCUGAGGCUCGAAAGCGUGGGGAGCAAACAGGAUUAGAUACCCAGGUAGUCCCUGAGCGGGCUGGCAAGGCGCAU
rnacentral:rRNA from 1 species